CAAGUCGAGCGGACAGAUGGGAGCUUGCUCCCUGAUGUUAGCGGCGGACGGGUGAGUAACACGUGGGUAACCUGCCUGUAAGACUGGGAUAACUCCGGGAAACCGGGGCUAAUACCGGAUGCUUGAUUGAACCGCAUGGUUCAAUUAUAAAAGGUGGCUUUUAGCUACCACUUACAGAUGGACCCGCGGCGCAUUAGCUAGUUGGUGAGGUAACGGCUCACCAAGGCAACGAUGCGUAGCCGACCUGAGAGGGUGAUCGGCCACACUGGGACUGAGACACGGCCCAGACUCCUACGGGAGGCAGCAGUAGGGAAUCUUCCGCAAUGGACGAAAGUCUGACGGAGCAACGCCGCGUGAGUGAUGAAGGUUUUCGGAUCGUAAAACUCUGUUGUUAGGGAAGAACAAGUACCGUUCGAAUAGGGCGGUACCUUGACGGUACCUAACCAGAAAGCCACGGCUAACUACGUGCCAGCAGCCGCGGUAAUACGUAGGUGGCAAGCGUUGUCCGGAAUUAUUGGGCGUAAAGCGCGCGCAGGCGGUUUCUUAAGUCUGAUGUGAAAGCCCCCGGCUCAACCGGGGAGGGUCAUUGGAAACUGGGGAACUUGAGUGCAGAAGAGGAGAGUGGAAUUCCACGUGUAGCGGUGAAAUGCGUAGAGAUGUGGAGGAACACCAGUGGCGAAGGCGACUCUCUGGUCUGUAACUGACGCUGA
rnacentral:rRNA from 1 species